UAUGGCAUACAAAUUUGAAUGUACCUGAUCUCAUCUGAUCUCAGAAGCAAAGUGAGGUUGGGCCUGGUUAGUACUGGGGUGAGAGGAAAGUAAGUAAACCUAAAA
rnacentral:rRNA from 1 species